AUUCAAUGCUAAGAUUUAGUUAAGUUAGACCAAUGCAUUUUCAUAUAUUUGUUGGUGUUUGUCCUUGGUUUGAGUGAAAUGAAAAAGAAAAUAUUUGUCUUGAAACUAGGUGAAAAUAUCUACUAUCUAAUCUAACAUUAAGUUUAAAACAAGUUGGAAAGAAUAGUGUCAUUGAACUAAGAAUGCUUCUGAACUGCUCAAUAUUCUUUCUUUUGUGUUCCAUGAUUUAAGGUUCUAGACAUAUGAGAAACAUUGGGAAGCUUUAUGGGGUUUUACUUGUGUGAUAGUAGACCUUUUUGUUGCAUGUUAGAAGGUUCAUGAGGGACAAUUCAUUGAAUGCGAGAAGGUUCUUGUUAGAGAUAUCGUGUUUUCCUCUGACAUGCGUGUCAACAGUCAAAUCAACCUUUCUUUUCCUUUUCAAAGUUAUAAACUCCCUCAUGCCAAUUUAUGUGGCACCGUUUGACUGGCACGAAGUAUAAGAAAGAAAGGAAGACUUGAAAUUUGUGGUCUAACACACUCCUUGACCAUUUAUGUGGCCUAUAAAUCAUUUCAUUAUGGGUAAAAGGGGAAUUUUAAAGUUAAAUUAUUUUUGAUUAUAGAAAGGUGACAUUUAUUUGGGACGGACUAAAAAGGAAGGUGUGCCACAUAAAUUGGGACAAAGGGAGCAUCAGUUUUCUCCAAUCUUAUUCAAACAAAACACCCUUGGAGUUUCUCAUCUCCGUUUUAUUUUAAAGGAAAAAGCAUGGGUAAAAAUCUGCAAUCUUUUUGCUUAUGCAAAAUAACGUGGUGUUAUGUGAUUAUUGGGAUCAACAUGCAACAAGGUACAAAUGGGAGCUGUAAUAGAAAUUAAUUAGGGAGUUAUUGUUUCUAGACCCCAACUCAAAUGGGUUCUCCUUCAGAUACCUGAACACGUCCAAAACCACUAUUUUAAACGCCUCCGUUUGAUUAAUUAUGGAACGUCUUCGCCAAUCGCGUACACAUAGCUAACCACCAUCAGUGUGGAGCCUGUUUACUAUUUCAUACAAUCCCAUUUGCCGAUACAAAAUUUCUCUUAUUUUUUCCAUUAGACUCACCAAAUCAUACUAUGGCAAUCCAAAGAGUUCCAUUUAACAUGGAAGAGAGAACCCGAGACCACGAAACGUCAAGCUUAGACAGGCCCAAGAGGGUUUGCAUGUGGUGGAUUUUACUAAUUUACGUCCUUAGGCAAGGUGGCAGCAAACAAAGGGGUUUCAAGGAGGAAGAAUGGGAGGAAUUGAGGUGGGGGAAAGGGUUGUUGAACCUCAUUGUUUGCAUAAAAAGAAGGUGAAGGGUUCUAGGGAAGAAUCCGCUGGCAAUGAUGUUGGUUGCCGAGAGAGUGUUGAGGCUUAAAGAUAAAAAGAGGGUUUUGUUUAGGACUUGGAUGUGAGUAGAAAUGAAAAUGUGGAAAGACGCGGGGGAGGAAAAUGGCAGGAAAGGUUCUUCCAUGACUGAAAAUAAUGGUGUUCGCAGGUGGAUUUUUCUGGUGGCCAAGGUUAAAAGGAUGGGGGAAUGAGGAGGAAAGAGAGAUAAAAAGGAGGGUUUCUUUUAACUGUUUGUAGUUCUAUUUUUGACCGUCGCGCUCUUUGAAGUUGUAGAUACCACAUAUUUGGUCCAAGUCAAGCCAUUUAAUUGCCACAGAAGCUCAAUCAUGGUGUUGAAAACAUUAGAUCCAUUAUAGGCUAAGUUGUCUGGAUGAGAACCAUAGAGUUGGGAGGUUGGAACAGAAUUUCGUUCAAGUACGAGUGUCAAUUAACCUAUUACGCCUUUUAUUACGUGUUUCCCCUAAAAGUCUUGUUACAAGCACUAGUAUCAUCAUUUAUCUCUAUCUUAUUUCAGCCUAUGUAGUAGUGACUGCUGGUAGUCUUAACUUUGUACAAACUGAGAUGCUAGGCCCCUUGCUUCCUCACAAAUGAAAUCAGAAAACCAGCGUUGAUAUUCAUUUCUCUUUUCUUCUACAUUUAGUAAGCUUUCCAUCUUUUGAUUUCUUGUUCCUCUAUUGAGAACACAACAUAUAUGAAAUAAAUACACUUAGAACUAGUUGGAUUUUAACCUUAUUAGAUUUGGGCAACUUGUAUAUUUAUGGGGUAACUUCACCUCUUGUGCAGCUUACUGUUACCAUUUGAUAUAUCAAACUCUGUUACCUUCUUCAAAAAAGAUUUGGGCUACAUGUGAUAUCGUGAAUGUUAUUAGUCCUUUUAUGGUUUCCUUCUUUGUUCUAAUUCAUUGUUUGAUGCAGGAUGUAUCGAGCCAUGUUGGCAUUAGAGGACUACGAAUAUGCAGCAGAUAUUCUUGAUAAAAUACAAAGGGAUGAUAUUCAUGUUUGCAGUGUAGUCCAAGCUUGUCAAGCAGCUUAUGGAACUGGGAAAGGGAAAGGGAAAAAGAAAAAAAAGAAAACUGGGAAGGAUGUGGCAUGUGAGACGUGAAAAGUGUAGUUCGUAGGGGAUUUAGAAAAUUCCUCGGUAUGUAUUAGUUCUGAACAUUCCAGUCUUUGUUCGUGCUGAUUUUUUUCCCUUCCUCUUUGUUCUCCUUUUUUGGGUGCAGCAUUUCUUUGAGAUCGACAUUUUGCAGAUCAUUUAGAUGUACAACUUUUAGUGGAGAACUCCUUUUUCAUAUACCGCGUGAGAGCUCUGUACUAAUCCUGCCUUAAAGUUGCCCCGAGUUUAACAGUAAGUUGGAAGUGGAUCAAGAGAACUUCUGGUAUCAUUGAAUCGUUGCUUAAAAUCAUUUUGACCCAUCGAAUACGACGCACUAAGAUGAAGUGGUGUCUUGUUUUAUUUUGAAGAGGAGCUGAAACAUGUGUCUGCUCUAGUUCUUAGAAAAGAACAGGCCGUAUAUGUACUUCCAUUUGGCCGCUAGUCGUCUUCCUGUACUAACAUUCCAGACCAUCUUUUGCUCAAUUGUGAAAACAUGGCAGAUUAGUUAUGCUUA